CGGGUUUUUUUUAUAUUUUUACAACAGAUUUUCUUUCCGCGGGGAAUAGUUUUUGUUGUUGUAUUGUAAUUUAUCUAUCCACGACCGCGUCCGACAAGCGGUUUAUAUCGCAACGUUUAGUUGCAACGUCCGUCUGAUAAUAUUCUCUCGGUACAUGUGUUGUAAUUUAUUUCGCGAAUCUUUUAGCCGAUUUUUUCUGGCGGUGGGCACGGGGCAAGGGGGCGAGCGUUUGAAUCGAAAGAAAUAUUACUCGGCGAAAUUUGCAUCGCAUAACAAUCACACGGGCGAGCGACGGGAAAAACAACGA